GGGGGCGUAAAGGUUUCGACGGGGGUAGUAGAGAUCGAGGUAGCGAGCGGUGGUCCCAGAGGCACUUUAAAAAGCUGGAAAUUAAAUUUAAACGCUAACGAAAAUUACGCGUUAGCUGCCUAAUGGCAGCCGUCUUACCUUAAGUUACCUCACUUUAGGAUAAGGCGUCAUUUAGAGGUGAACGUUACUGUCAAAGCUUUGAGACAGAUAACGCAUUAUGAAGCUACUGAAGCCAUAAGUUUGACGGAGGACGUAUGGUAGAGGGAAUGUAAAAUCACCGUCUGCGCUCGGAGAAGCUUUGGUUGAAGCACUUUCGGACAGGGGUUCGAUUCCCCUCGCCUCCACCA
rnacentral:tmRNA from 1 species